CGUUAGCCGUGGUAGGCAAUUCACCUAGGAGAGCAAACUCUAAACAAACCCGGGCAGGUGGAGGUCGUUAGCCGUGGUAGGCAAUUCACCUAGGAGAGCAAACUCUAAACAAACCCGGGCAGGUGGAGGUCGUUAGCCGUGGUAGGCAAUUCACCUAGGAGAGCAAACUCUAAACAAACCCGGGCAGGUGGAGGUCGUUAGCCGUGGUAGGCAAUUCACCUAGGAGAGCAAACUCUAUACAAACCCGGGCAGGUGAGGCUCGUAAGCCGUGGUAGGCAAUUC